CAAACAGAGAGUUUGAUCCUGGCUCAGGAUGAACGCUGGCGGCGUGCUUAACACAUGCAAGUCGAACGGAGACUU
rfam:Johnsonella ignava ATCC 51276 genomic scaffold supercont1.4, whole genome shotgun sequence.